CAGAUGUUCAUCCCGCAGCGCAGCUUCCUGCAUGAGCAUGCGCAUGCUCAGUGUGUCACGCUGUCAUGGACCCGAAGAGGAAGCCUUUUGCCAGCAGAAUGCACACAUUUCACACUAUCUUGGAUGAGCACACACUGCCGAAGUCAGAAUGAAUGACAUGAACCUCAGCCCUGUUGGGAUGGACCAGUUAAGUGUGCCCGCUGGGAGUGCCAGUCAUCUGGGUCUACCCACCUCCCCAACACACAACCCCAUCACUACACCAGGUAUGUCUGUGGCUAUACCCAGCCUGGGGCCCUCUCUUGGGUCUCUGCCCUCUGCUCUGUCGCUCAUGCUGCCAAUGGGUCCUCUUGGUGACCGAGGGGUCAUGUGUGGCCUUCCAGAGAGGAACUACUCGUUACCUCCCCCCCCCUACCCACACCUGGAGAGUAGCUACUUCAGACACAUACUGCCAGGUAUUCUGUCUUACCUGGCAGACCGGCCUCCCCCUCAGUACAUUCACCCCAGCAGUCUGAACAUGGACGGGACUCUCUCUGUGUCCAGCCAGAACCCCUCAGGGCUGGACCCUUACAGUGGCCCUGGAGGCCCUCUGGAACAGGGCCUGGUGUCCCUGGACUCCCGUCAGGUCAGUGGCCAGGGAGACCUCCACCAGGGUGGGGGCCACGAGGUGCAGAUGAACUCCACAGGGCUGAACAUGGAGUCCCGGGUCAGCAGCCCCAUGUCCCCAGACAGGAUGGGAGAGGACCUGGCCAACAUGGAGGGGGUGGUGGGGGCUGAGAACCAACAGCAGCUGGGAGGGAGGGGCCAGAAUCACGAGGGCCUGGGAAGAGUUGAGUCCUCUGGGGGCGUGAUGCCCCUGCACGGGCCUGGCCUGGAGCUUCCUGUGGGGAUGGAGCCAGAGCACCUAGGGGGCCGGGUGGGGAACUCAGGGGGAGGCGGUCUGGGGGAGUCUUUACACAGCUCAGGGGAGCUGAACUCUGGGGUGGUGAGUGUGGUGCUCACCCAGUCCCAGCUGGAGCCUGUGUCCCUCCAUGGUCAUUCGGGCAUGGGCCUAGAGUCGGUGAACGUGUCCCCCAUCACGGCAGAGGUGUCCAUGGGGUCAGAGAACAGCCUGUUGCUGGUCAACUCCACCCUGCAGCUGGAGGACUCCACCUCCAACAAGGAGAAUAUGGUCACUGCCUUCACCAUCUGGUGUACGCUGUGUGAGCGCUCGUAUCCCUCCGACUGCCCAGAGCACGGCCCAGUCACCUUUAUCCCUGACACGCCCAUCCAGAGCAGAGCCCGACUGUCCCUUCCUCGCCCGCUCUGCCUCCGCAUCUCUGUAGCUGAUGAGCCUUUUGGAGUGUUUGCUCGGGACAUCAUACCUCCCAGGACCUGCUUUGGACCCAUGGUGGGUCAGCACUGUAGCAACGUAGACCUGCAAGACUGGUCAGACAAGGACACCCCUCAGAUAUGGAAGAUGUUCCACAACAACGUGCUGGAGUUCUGUAUCGUGACCACAGAUGAGAAUGAAUGCAACUGGAUGAUGUUUGUCCGCAAGGCAAGGACCAGAGAGGAGCAGAACCUGGUGGCCUACCCUGACAACGGGAAGCUGUUCUUCUGCACGUCCACUGAGAUCCUCCCAGACCAGGAGCUGCUCUUCUACUACACCAGGGACUACUGCAGGCAGAUGGGGGUCCCUCAGGUCCCAGAGGGCCAGGUGUGCCAGUGCGGCAAAGAGUGCCAGUCCUUCGCCGAGCUCAAGUCCCACCUGAGCAGCCACAACAACCACGGCCAUUCCCACAGCCCCAGCCAGGACCACCACCAGGAGGGCAAGCUGCCCAGCGGUACCUCCAUCUCCUCCUCAUCCCCCUGGGCGUGCCACUCCCACAACAGCAGCCUCUCUCAUAACACGAACAACUCUGGCUCCAACACACACAGACACUCGCUUGAGAGGAAGUACAAGUGCAGUAUGUGCUCGCGGGCAUUCACCACGUCCACUAAGCUCAACGUGCACUUCAUGGGACACGUGGGGAUGAAGCCGCACAAGUGUGAAUACUGCAGCAAGGCCUUCAGUGAUCCGAGCAACCUGAGGAUGCACCUCAAGAUACACACAGGUCAGAAGAACUACAGGUGCAAUGUGUGUGAGAAGUCGUUCACUCAGAAGGCCCACAUGGCGUCUCAUAUGGUGAUUCACACGGGGGCCAAGAACUUCAAGUGUGACCUGUGUGACAGGAUGUUCAUCAGGAAGCAGGACCUCAAGCAGCACAUGUUCACACAUACACAAGAGCGACAGAUCCACUGCCCCAAGUGUGACAAACAUUUCUUGAGGACCAACCACUUGAAGAAGCACAUGAACUCCCAUGAGGGCCGCCGGGACUACAUCUGUGAGAAGUGUGAGAAGGGCUUCCUCACCAAAUACCACCUCACCAGACACCUCAAGAUCUGCAAAGGCCCCAAGACUGACCGUGGGGCCCAGGAAGAGGAGGGGGAGGAAGAGGAUGAUGAUGAUGAAGAAGAUGAUGAUGAUGAUGAGGAAGGAGAGGAAGUCGAGAGACUGAUAGAUCCAGAUAGCAGAGAAGACUGUGGGUUAGAGGGAUAUGAUUCUGAGAAACCUUUGUCCUCACACAAUUGACUGUGACCUCAAUGUGCCAUUACUAGAAAUGCUAAUUUAUUUACUUAUUUUUAACUGUUAGUUUGUUUUGCCAAAAUCUCAUUUGUUGUGUCAGGUUAAGGUUUAUUUUCAAAUAUCAGUUUAACAUUGGGCACAAUCAAACAAGGAUCAUCCAGAUUUUGAUGUAGAGGUAGUGUAUGUGCUUAGGCUUCAUGUUUUAUUUCUUCAGGUACAUUUCCCUUGCCUAACAGCUAAACAUCAAUUGUUUUCCCGCUGCUCUAUCAUCGCUCCAUACAUACAUCAGUAUGAAACUGCCAUCCUAGAAGUCGUUUGUGCCGACGUGACGUGAUUCAUGUAGGCCUGGCUUUGGCCCAACCCAUUGGUCACUGGGGCCAAUCUGAAUGUGUUUGCAUUCUUAAAGAGUCGGGGAGGAAAGCAAAUUCAGACUCAUCAUAGAGAACAAACGUUAGCUGGUGUGCCAUUUGGCCGGAGCGAUGUGGCUGGGUAGCCAGGCAAUAAUCAUCCUAGAAAAAGUUAUGUUUUAACUCAAAAGCCAUGGCCUUUUAACACACAAUAGUUAUGUUUUUUUUUUAACAGUGGUCAUCUCUUUAUGGAAUAGAUAAUGAGUUUGAGUCUCUGGAUGCUGACGGCUAGCUAGAUGCUGGCUCUGCUGCUGGUUGAAUGUUGAAGAGGUAUUACCCGAUCCACAUCUCAGUGUCAUGUUUUGAAAAGGGGCGGGUGUACAGAACGGAAGUAGUUAGACUGCUCUAGGACAUUACACUUCCGGUUGAAAUACAAAAUUUGUGCAGCGCCGUUGGAGCUAACGGGGAGGGCAUGUCUACUCUUAUCGACAGGACGAUGAGGAUGAGGAGGGAGGAGCAGGCGCGCCAGGUGGUCCUCGCCUGGGCAGUCCUCAAUGUGUCGCUAGCUGGCAUGAUCUACACAGAGAUGUCAGGGAAACUGCUGA